rnacentral:rRNA from 1 species
GUGGGGAAUCUUGCGCAAUGGGCGAAAGCCUGACGCAGCCAUGCCGCGUGAAUGAUGAAGGUCUUAGGAUUGUAAAAUUCUUUCACCGGGGACGAUAAUGACGGUACCCGGAGAAGAAGCCCCGGCUAACUUCGUGCCAGCAGCCGCGGUAAUACGAAGGGGGCUAGCGUUGCUCGGAAUUACUGGGCGUAAAGGGCGCGUAGGCGGACAGUUUAGUCAGAGGUGAAAGCCCAGGGCUCAACCUUGGAAUUGCCUUUGAUACUGGCUGGCUUGAGUACGGGAGAGGUGAGUGGAACUCCGAGUGUAGAGGUGAAAUUCGUAGAUAUUCGGAAGAACACCAGUGGCGAAGGCGACUCACUGGCCCGUUACUGACGCUGAGGCGCGAAAGCGUGGGGAGCAAACAGGAUUAGAUACCCUUGUAGUCC